GUCAUGCCGCGUGUGUGAGAAGCGUCGGGUGUAAAGCACUUCAGUCGUGAGGAAGGUGGUGUCGUUAAUAGCGCAUCAUUUGACGUUAGCGACAGAAGAAGCACCGGCUAACUCCGUGCCAGCAGCCGCGGUAAUACGGAGGGUGCGAGCGUUAAUCGGAAUUACUGGGCGUAAAGCGCAUGCAGGUGGUUUGUUAAGUCAGAUGUGAAAGCCCGGGGCUCAACCUCGGAAUAGCAUUUGAAACUGGCAGACUAGAGUACUGUAGAGGGGGGUAGAAUUUCAGGUGUAGCGGUGAAAUGCGUAGAGAUCUGAAGGAAUACCGGUGGCGAAGGCGGCCCCCUGGACAGAUACUGACACUCAGAUGCGAAAGCGUGGGGAGCAAACAGGAUUAGAUACCCUGGUAGUCCACGCCGUAAACGAUGUCUACUUGGAGGUUGUGGCCUUGAGCCGUGGCUUUCGGAGCUAACGCGUUAAGUAGACCGCCUGGGGAGUACGGUCGCAAGAUUAAAACUCAAAUGAAUUGACGGGGGCCCGCACAAGCGGUGGAGCAUGUGGUUUAAUUCGAUGCAACGCGAAGAACCUUACCUACUCUUGACAUCCAGAGAACUUUCCAGAGAUGGAUUGGUGCCUUCGGGAACUCUGAGACAGGUGCUGCAUGGCUGUCGUCAGCUCGUGUUGUGAAAUGUUGGGUUAAGUCCCGCAACGAGCGCAACCCUUAUCCUUGUUUGCCAGCGAGUAAUGUCGGGAACUCCAGGGAGACUGCCGGU
rnacentral:rRNA from 1 species